rnacentral:lncRNA from 1 species
GACAACUUCUUCUUCUCUUUUUUUUUGUGUGAACUUCAUAGGAAUUCCAGGGAAUGAAGAAUUCUGAUGAGUAUUUUUCCUUUAUUUUUCUUUUUUUUUUGACAAAUAAACUUAUAUUGUACAGAUUGAGAAUUGAUAUACAUAUACAAUAAAACAUUUUUAAAUAUACACAUUUUCAGUUAUAGUUUAUGUAAAUUCAACAGUAAUAGCCACAAAUUUUAUGGAAAUUCUGAUAUUAUUACAAAAUUUAUCACAGAUAAAAGAAGAAACAUGUUAAUUAAUAAUUCUGUUUCCCCCUUUGCUCUCCGGUCAAAAAACUUUGCACUAUAGUAAUUCUAUUUUCUCUCUUUCUUUCUAUCCUUCAGUUUUCCCUUCUCUAUUCCGACGUCACAGCGCGGGAAUCUUGUUCACUUAUGAUAAUUAAUAACAGAGGAACUAGACAUCCCGAGUCCCUCUGGCAUAGAGGAUUCACAGGUCUGUCGGUUAGCUUUAUACACAGUUCAUCAUUUUCCUGUAAUCUCCGACUGUGCAAAGAUGGCUUCUAGGAUCUCCGUUGAGUGGAGUACGUACUCUUCCAGCUUGAUGGAAUAGGAAAUAUUACUCUAUUUGUACUUCGAGCACGUUGCUACGAGCCAAUCUAAAGCGCUGGGUUCUUGGCCAUACUUUUCACGGUGCACCAUUAUAACAACUGAAACCACUUUAGAGCAAAAA